UCAAAUCCGAUUAAGCAAGGGCCCAUCCUCCGACGCUGGCAGCACCUUGAAGCCCUUGCCAGUGGAAACGGUGACGGUAGCGUGCCCCGACCACCUCGUUCUCGCCGACCUUCCCGUUGCCAAGAGCAUUGGCUCCGCCACCUCCUCCUCGCUCGUGAAGACAAUUGGUCGGAGGUCCCGUCGCCAGCUUGGCGAGCGAGUCCACUUCUGCGUUCGCUGCGAUUUUCCGAUAGCGAUCUACGGCCGCUUGGUACUUUUUAAUAAUUAUUACUAUGUUUAUUUAGCUUUGAAUUAAAAUCAAUUAAUUUGUGAAAGAGUAGAGUAAUACUAACUAAUGAAUAGAUAAUAGUUUCCUUGCUUGGUAUAGACUAUUGAAUAUUAGGUUCGCUUUUAAGCGAAAACUUGAAACUUUAGGGUUUUGAUUGUUGGCUAAGGGUUGCAAUUGUGCAAAAGUUGUUGCUAGGAGUUCUUUCGUAUAUUGGUAUCUGUUUUAUGUAUUUGAAAAUGUCUAUGUUUUUUUCUUUUGGUUGCAGAGUCCUUGUGAGCAUUCCUUCUGCCUGGAUUGUGCAAGGAGUGAUUCAAUUUGCUACCUGUAAGUGAUCACUUCUUAAUUCUUUAAUGCAAAAUUGUGUUUAAAGAUUCGUAGAAUUUCAUAGCUAUUUUAUCCAUUUGUUUUCUUGAAUGGUUC
rnacentral:lncRNA from 1 species